UCGAAUACAAAAGUGAAGGAAGAAUUGGGGCAAACGCGUGACAGCCGUUGCGGUUAAAACGACUGCCCUGGGAGUGAGUGA
rnacentral:rRNA from 10 species